rnacentral:rRNA from 1 species
GACGAACGCUGGCGGCGUGCCUAAUACAUGCAAGUCGAACGAGAGCGACCGGUGCUUGCACUGGUCAAUCUAGUGGCGAACGGGUGAGUAACACGUGGGUAACCUGCCCAUCAGAGGGGGAUAACAUCCGGAAACGGAUGCUAAAACCGCAUAGGUCUUCGAGCCGCAUGGCUUGAAGAGGAAAAGAGGCGCAAGCUUCUGCUGAUGGAUGGACCCGCGGUGCAUUAGCUAGUUGGUGAGGUAACGGCUCACCAAGGCCGUGAUGCAUAGCCGACCUGAGAGGGUGAUCGGCCACAUUGGGACUGAGACACGGCCCAAACUCCUACGGGAGGCAGCAGUAGGGAAUCUUCCGCAAUGGACGCAAGUCUGACGGAGCAGCGCCGCGUGAGUGAAGAAGGUUUUCGGAUCGUAAAACUCUGUUGUUAGAGAAGAACAAGUGCUAGAGUAACUGUUAGCGCCUUGACGGUAUCUAACCAGAAAGCCACGGCUAACUACGUG